UACGAAGGGGGCUAGCGUUGCUCGGAAUUACUGGGCGUAAAAGGCGCGUAGGCGGGUCGUUUAGUUAGAGGUGAAAGCCCAGGGCUCAACCCUGGAAUUGCCUUUAAUACUGGCGGCCUUGAGUAUGGCAGAGGUGUGUGGAACUCCGAGUGUAGAGGUGAAAUUCGUAGAUAUUCGGAAGAACACCAGUGGCGAAGGCGACACACUGGGCCAUUACUGACGCUGAGGCGCGAAAGCGUGGGGAGCGAACAGG
rnacentral:rRNA from 1 species